rnacentral:rRNA from 1 species
AGUAACGCGUGGGUAAUCUACCUUCGAAUUUGGGAUAACACCCCGAAAGGGGUGCUAAUACCGGAUAAUAUCCUUUUAACUUAGGUUAAAGAGAUCAAAGACAGCCUCUACAUGUAAGCUGUUGUUUGGAGAUGAGACCGCGUACCAUUAGCUUGUUGGUAGGGUAACGGCCUACCAAGGCGACGAUGGUUAGCUGGUCUGAGAGGAUGAUCAGCCACACUGGAACUGACACACGGUCCAG